rnacentral:rRNA from 1 species
UUACGGGAGGCAGCAGUGGGGAAUUUUCCACAAUGGGCGAAAGCCUGAUGGAGCAAUACCGCGUGAAGGAUGAAGGAUCGUGGUCCGUAAACUUCUUUUCUUAACGAAGAAAAUCUGACGGUAGUUAAGGAAUAAGCACCGGCUAACUCCGUGCCAGCAGCCGCGGUAAUACGGGGGGUGCAAGCGUUGUCCGGAAUGAUUGGGCGUAAAGCAUCUGUAGGUGGUUUUUAAAGUCGACUGUUAAAGCCCAGGGCUCAACUUUGGAUAAGCGGUCGAGUACUUAAGGACUUGAGUAUGGUAGGGGUAGAGGGAAUUCCUAGUGGAGCGGUGAAAUGCACAGAGAUUAGGAAGAACACCGAGGGCGAAAGCACUCUACUGGGCCAUGACUGACACUGAGAGAUGAAAGUUGGGGGAGCGAAAAGGAUUAGAUACCCGCGUAGUCCA